UACAGAGGGGGCAAGCGUUGUUCGGAAUUACUGGGCGUAAAGGGCGCGUAGGCGGCCUGUUAAGUCGAACGUGAAAUCCCCGGGCUCAACCCGGGAACUGCGUCCGAUACUGGCAGGCUUGAAUUCGGGAGAGGGAUGUGGAAUUCCAGGUGUAGCGGUGAAAUGCGUAGAUAUCGUAAGGAAGACCAGUGGCGAAGGCGGGUCUCUGGACAGUUCCUGACGCUGAGGCACGAAGGCCAGGGGAGCAAACGGG
rnacentral:rRNA from 1 species